UUUGCAUUGCACACUAUAAUG
rnacentral:miRNA from 1 species